rnacentral:rRNA from 1 species
UACAGAGGGUGCGAGCGUUGUUCGGAAUUAUUGGGCGUAAAGGGCGCGUAGGCGGCGCCACAAGUCACCUGUGAAAACUCUGGGCUUAACUCAGAGCCUGCAGGCGAAACUGUGGUGCUGGAGUAUGGGAGAGGUGCGUGGAAUUCCCGGUGUAGCGGUGAAAUGCGCAGAUAUCGGGAGGAACACCAAUGGCGAAGGCAGCUCGCUGGGACGUGACUGACGCUGAGACGCGAAAGCGUGGGGAGCAAACAGG